UAGAAAAAGUAGGUUUUGCAUAUUUAUACUUAUUUAAAAAAAAUAAGUAUAAAGUACAAAUGGGAGUGACCUACAUCACUAGAUGCAGCUUAAUUAAGGGAAACCAUGGAUAUAAGAUUUUUGAAUGUGGGACAUACUGUGUGGGAGUUAUGAGCCAAAACGUGUUUAUAGAGCCACCUGCUGGUUGACGUGUCCUUUUCUUGUGUCUGAGGUGUGUGCCCCAGUCUUUACCACCCAUGUGAAUUUGAACUUUUAUAGUUUAGGCUACAGUAUGACUUUUAUCAACAGAAGAAUAAAAACAAAUCUGAGUAAUUUUCAUAGGGUUUCCAGCAGCGGAUCAAGCAUCAACCCAUUUGAUGGUCCCCUGAUCCAGUGGAGUUACGUGCCAAGGCCAGAUGUCUGAUCCCCUUGGCCAAGUCUUAUCUGAGUUGGAACUUCCCUAAAACACUGGAGUCAGAUAAUUAAGCCUGGAAGAUGCCUACUAGGCAAAUUUCAGUAGAAAAUAGGAUGAUGUGCCCAAAAUAUGACCUGCGGUAUGAUUGGUUCAUUUUUAGAAAUAGGUGGAGACUUUACCAAGACUCCACCUGGAAAGGGAUGAGAAUCUGGGCUUUAUAACACAGAGCACAGCCAGUGUGUAGUCGGUAUGGUUCUGGAGCCUUAGUCGGCUUUGUCUUGUGAAAUAAUAAACUCUAUUCCGUUGAA